GAUGAACGCUGGCGGCGCGCCCAACACAUGCAAGUCGAACGGUUAAAGCACCUUUUAGGUGUGUAUAAAGUGGCGAACGGCUGAGUAACACGUGGGCAACCUGCCCUCCUCUUGGGGAUAGCCUCGGGAAACCGAGGAUAAUACCCGAUACUUCAAUGUGGCCGCAUGACGACAUUGAGAAAGCUUUUGCGGAGAAGGAUGGGCCCGCGGCCUGUUAGCUUGUUGGUGGGGUAGAGGCCUAUCAAGGCAAUGAUGGGUAGCUGGGUUGAGAGACCGACCAGCCAGAUUGGGACUGAGACACGGCCCAGACUCCUACGGGAGGCAGCAGUGGGGAAUCUUGCACAAUGGGCGAAAGCCUGAUGCAGCGACGCCGCGUGCGGGAAGAAGGCCUUCGGGUUGUAAACCGCUUUCAGCAGGGACGAGGCGAAAGUGACGGUACCUGCAGAAGAAGCCCCGGCUAACUACGUGCCAGCAGCCGCGGUAAUACGUAGGGGGCAAGCGUUAUCCGGAUUCAUUGGGCGUAAAGCGCUCGUAGGCGGUCUGUUAGGUCGGGAGUUAAAUCCGGAGGCUCAACCUCCGUCCGCUCCCGAUACCGGCAGACUUGAGUUUGGUAGGGGAAGGUGGAAUUCCUAGUGUAGCGGCGGAAUGCGCAGAUAUUAGGAAGAACACCAGUGGCGAAGGCGGCCUUCUGGGCCAUAACUGACGCUGAGGAGCGAAAGCUAGGGGAGCAAACAGGAUUAGAUACCCUGGUAGUCCUAGCUGUAAACGAUGGACACUAGGUGUGGGAGAAUACGACUUCCGUGCCGCAGCUAACGCAUUAAGUGUCCCGCCUGGGGAGUACGGCCGCUAAGGCCUAAUACUCAAAGGAAUUGACGGGGACCCGC
rnacentral:rRNA from 2 species